UGGGGAAUUUUGGACAAUGGGCGCAAGCCUGAUCCAGCCAUUCCGCGUGAGUGAAGAAGGCCUUCGGGUUGUAAAGCUCUUUCGGCAGGGAAGAAAUCGCUAGGGGUAAUAUCCUUGGCGGAUGACGGUACCUGAAGAAGAAGCACCGGCUAACUACGUGCCAGCAGCCGCGGUAAUACGUAGGGUGCGAGCGUUAAUCGGAAUUACUGGGCGUAAAGCGUGCGCAGGCGGUUUUUUAAGCCAGAUGUGAAAGCCCCGGGCUCAACCUGGGAACUGCGUUUGGAACUGAAAGACUAGAGUGUGUCAGAGGGAGGUGGAAUUCCACGUGUAGCAGUGAAAUGCGUAGAUAUGUGGAGGAACACCGAUGGCGAGGGCAGCCUCCUGGGAUAACACUGACGCUCAUGCACGAAAGCGUGGGGAGCAAACAGGAUUAGAUACCCCUGGUACGUCCACGCCCUAAACGAUGUCAACUGGUUGUUGGGGAAGCAAUUCCUUAGUG
rnacentral:rRNA from 1 species